UCGACUGGCUUUAGACAUUCAGCAAAUGACUCUAAGCAGUUCUCUUCCCAAGACUCACAUCUGUGCCAUACACAGUCUUGUUGUGGCUUUUCUUAACAUGCUGGGACAAGUCACACAGGUCAAUGCUCUGUCCCUUCAUGCUCUUAGGGUUGCUGAAAAUAGAGAAAAUGAAGCACCUUACCUUCUGCCAGAUUUUGCCUUCAAUCGUAAAAACAGACCAAAUAGGUUAGUCAGUUUGU
rnacentral:sRNA from 1 species